rnacentral:misc_RNA from 1 species
UACGUAGGGGGCAAGCGUUGUCCGGAAUUAUUGGGCGUAAAGCGCGCGCAGGCGGUCUUUUAAGUCUGAUGUGAAAGCCCCCGGCUCAACCGGGGAGGGGCAUUGGAAACUGGGAGACUUGAGUACAGAAGAGGAGAGUGGAAUUCCACGUGUAGCGGUGAAAUGCGUAGAUAUGUGGAGAAACACCAGUGGCGAAGGCGACUCUCUGGUCUGUAACUGACGCUGAGGCGCGAAAGUGUCGGCAGCAAACAGG